GCCGACGUAGCUCAGGGGUAGAGCAGCUGAUUCGUAAUCAGCAGGUCGUGAGUUCAAUUCUCACCGUCGGCU
rnacentral:tRNA from 1 species